UACGUAGGUGGCAAGCGUUGUCCGGAAUUAUUGGGCGUAAAGCGCGCGCAGGCGGUCCUUUAAGUCUGAUGUGAAAUCUUGCGGCUCAACCGUAAGCGUGCAUUGGAAACUGGAGGACUUGAGUACAGAAGAGGAGAGUGGAAUUCCAUGUGUAGCGGUGAAAUGCGUAGAUAUAUGGAGGAACACCAGUGGCGAAGGCGACUCUCUGGUCUGUAACUGACGCUGAGGCGCGAAAGCGUGGGGAGCAAACAGG
rnacentral:rRNA from 1 species